rnacentral:rRNA from 1 species
GACAAACGCUGGCGGGGUGCAUGAGACAUGCAAGUCGAACGGGGUGCCAUCGGGCUUGCUCGAUGGUUACCUAGUGGCGGACGGCUGAGUAACGCGUAGGUGACCUACCCGGAAGUGGGGAAUAACUGCCCGAAAGGGUGGCUAAUACCGCAUGUGGUCGGCGAUUCGAUUCGCCGUCCAAAGGAGUAAUCCGCUUCCGGCGGGGCCUGCGUCCGAUUAGCUAGUUGGUGGGGUAACGGCUCACCAAGGCGACGAUCGGUAGCUGGUCUGAGAGGAUGAUCAGCCAGACUGGGACUGAGAACGGCCCAGACUCCUACGGGAGGCAGCAGUCGGGAAUUUUGCCCAAUGGACGAAAGUCUGAGGCAGCAACUCCGCGUGAGGGAUGAAGGCUCUCGGGUCGUAAACCUCUUUUCUCAGGGAAGAUCCAAGACGGUACCUGAGGAAUAAGCGACGGCUAACUACGUGCC